rnacentral:misc_RNA from 1 species
GAUGAAGAACGUAGCGAAAUGCGAUAAGUAAUGUGAAUUGCAGAAUUCAGUGAAUCAUCGAAUCUUUGAACGCACAUUGCGCCCCCUGGUAUUCCGGGGGGCAUGCCUGUCCGAGCGUCAUUACAACCCUCAAGCUCAGCUUGGUAUUGGGCCCCGCCGACCCGGCGGGCCCUAAAGUCAGUGGCGGUGCCGUCCGGCUCCGAGCGUAGUAAUUCUUCUCGCUCUGGAGGUCCGGUCGUGUGCUCGCCAGCAACCCCCAAUUUUUUUCAGGUUGACCUCGGAUCAGGUAGGGAUACCCGCUGAACUUAAGCAUACAAUAAGCGGAGGA